UUAGCUGAGCAAGAUAUGCUUCGAUGUUACGGGAAGUUGGUACUCAAUGAUCGCCUAUUUCAAGCUCUGAAGGAGCUGCCCAUUACCAUGAGGAAGACAUGGCUGCUAAUGUUGCCUUGA
rnacentral:rRNA from 1 species